rnacentral:lncRNA from 1 species
CCAGGCUACGAUUCCUCAGAUCAACCCAAGGAGGCAGCAGGGAAGAACUGAAGAAAGCAGAGAUGAGCUGAUUCCCUCUGCCUUCCAGAAGGAGAUGUCUCCCACCAUCAAGCAGAGGUUGGCCAGGACUAAGAAGCUGAAUCUGCCCCAGAUUGUCCAGCCUCAAUACAAGCAUGGACAUCUCAUCACAAGGUUCCUCUGCUGGUAAAGAUCACCUUGGAGAGCUCACCAUAUUUCCAGCUGGUGGGCCCCAAUGAUGUGUGCUGCAAGGUGCCACCGGGCCUCUCUAUGACCUUUCACGUCCUCUUCACCCCCAGGCAGAACAAGG